rnacentral:rRNA from 1 species
UACGUAGGUGGCAAGCGUUGUCCGGAUUUACUGGGCGUAAAGAGCGCGCAGGCGGUCGUUCAAGUCGCGUGUGAAAGCCCCCGGCUCAACUGGGGAGGGUCACGCGAUACUGAUCGACUCGAAGGCAGGAGAGGGUAGUGGAAUUCCCGGUGUAGUGGUGAAAUGCGUAGAUAUCGGGAGGAACACCAGUGGCGAAGGCGACUCCUGGCCUGUUCUUGACUGCUGACGG